rnacentral:rRNA from 1 species
UACGGAGGGUGCGAGCGUUGUCCGGAAUCAUUGGGCGUAAAGGGCGCGUAGGUGGCCCGGUCAGUUCGUGGUGAAAGCGCGGGGCUCAACCCUGCGUCGGCCAUGAAUACUGCCGCGGCUGGAGCACUGUAGAGGCAGGCGGAAUUCCGGGUGUAGCGGUGGAAUGCGUAGAUAUCGAGAGGAACACCUGCGGCGAAGGCGGGUUGCUGGGCUGACACUGACGCUGAAGCGCGAAAGCUAGGGGAGCGAACGGG